rnacentral:rRNA from 1 species
ACGCUCGACACCUACGGGAGGCAGCAGUGGGGAAUAUUGCACAAUGGGGGAAACCCUGAUGCAGCGACGCCGCGUGAGCGAAGAAGUAUUUCGGUAUGUAAAGCUCUAUCAGCAGGGAAGAAACUGACGGUACCUGACUAAGAAGCACCGGCUAAAUACGUGCCAGCAGCAGCGGUAAUCUGAGCGGCUGGCAAGGC